rnacentral:rRNA from 1 species
UACGUAGGGUGCGAGCGUUAAUCGGAAUUACUGGGCGUAAAGCGUGCGCAGGCGGUUCGUUAAGUCAGAUGUGAAAGCCCCGGGCUCAACCUGGGAACUGCAUUUGAAACUGGCGGGCUUGAGUGUGGCAGAGGGGGGUGGAAUUCCGCGUGUAGCAGUGAAAUGCGUAGAUAUCGGGAGGAACACCAGUGGCGAAGGCGGCGAUCUGGGCAGAUACUGACGCUGAGGUGCGAAAGCGUGGGGAGCAAACAGG